UGGUCAAGUUAUUAAGGGUGCAGGGUGGAUGCCUUGGCACUAGGAGCCGAUGAAGGACGUGAUAAGCUGCGAUAAGCUUCGGGGAGUUGCACGUAAACUUUGAUCCGAAGAUUUCCGAAUGAGGAAACUCACUUAGAGUAAUGUCUAAGUAUCAUUAAGUGAAUACAUAGCUUAAUGAGGGGAACUCAGGGAACUGAAACAUCUAAGUACCUGAAGGAAGAGAAAGAAAUUCGAUUCCGUAAGUAGCGGCGAGCGAACGCGGAUUAGCCCAAACCAAUAAAGUUUUCUUUAUUGGGGUUGCGGACAUAUCAUAACGAAGAGGUAUCGUAAUUGAAGAGGUUUGGAAAGACCCACCACAGAAGGUAAUAGUCCUGUAUGUUAAACGAGAAGACUUCAGAUAUGAUCCAGAGUACCACGGGACACGUGAAACCCUGUGGGAAGCAGGAGGGACCACCCUCCAAGGCUAAAUACUACCUAGUGACCGAUAGCGUAUAGUACCGUGAGGGAAAGGUGAAAAGAACCCCGGGAGGGGAG
rnacentral:rRNA from 1 species